rnacentral:rRNA from 1 species
CCAGACUCCUACGGGAGGCAGCAGUGGGGAAUAUUGCACAAUGGGGGAAACCCUGAUGCAGCGACGCCGCGUGAGUGAGGAAGUAUUUCGGUAUGUAAAGCUCUAUCAGCAGGGAAGAAAAAAUGACGGUACCUGACUAAGAAGCACCGGCUAAAUACGUGCCGGCAGCCGCGGUAAUACGUAUGGUGCAAGCGUUAUCCGGAUUUACUGGGUGUAAAGGGAGCGCAGGCGGUACGGCAAGUCUGAUGUGAAAGCCCGGGGCUCAACCCCGGUACUGCAUUGGAAACUACCGGACUGGAGUGUCGGAGGGGUAAGUGGAAUUCCUAGUGUAGCGGUGAAAUGCGUAGAUAUUAGGAGGAACACCAGUGGCGAAGGCGGCGUACUGGACGAUCACUGACGUUGAGGCUCGAAAGCGUGGGGAGCAAACAGGAUUAGAUACCCGCGUACAC